UUAGGAAUGAAAAGAAUGUCUGUGCUUAUUAAAGGGAGACAAAACUCUUGGCCCGGGCCCCACAUGGGCCACUUUGUGAGUUAUGUUGGAGGGAGAACAGGCCUCAUCUCCACCCUACAACCAAACCAAUACCAGAGACCUCCGCUACUGUGAAUCUUGGGACCAAAAAUAUGCAAUCUUUUCAUCGGAUCAUUGAGAAGUUCCUGUCCUUUCAGAACAGAGGCAGGCUGUGUCCCUGAAUAAUAAAUCUAAGCAGCCUGAUCUGGAGCCCUUGCGCUUGAAACUCCUCCUAUACUUCUCCCCACUGAACGACAUCAUGACUCAUUUCGUCCCUUCCUACAUUCUCACUUGGAAACAGAGUAGUUGAUCAACUGGAUGAAAAAGUUUGCCGACCCCAGAUCUGGACCCACUGAAAAGAAAUCACCAGAUAUAUGACAUAGGGGAUGACAAUGUUCACAUUUCAUGGUGGAGCAUUUCACUAUUUCAAACAGCAAAGGAACCACAUUUUUUUUCUGUUUCUUUUUUUAAUUAAUUUUAAGUUCCAGGGUACAUGUGCAGGAUGUGCAGGUUUGUUACAUAGGUAAACAUGUGACAUGGUGGUUUGCUGUACCUAUCAACCCAUCACCUAGGUAUUAAGCCCAGCAUGUAUUAGCUAUUUAUCCUGAUGCUCUCCCUCCCCCAACCCCACCACCGGACAGGACCCAGUGUGUGUUGCUCCCCUUCCUGUGUCCAGGAACCACAUGUUUUUAAAACUAUGUUUGUGACAUCUCUGUAUGUAUGAGCAGAUGGGUCCACAGAGAUCACUCAAUGUCUAAUUUUCUUUUACGCACAUAAUGAGAAAAAGCUCAGGGAGAAAAAGUGAAAUCAGUAGCAUGGACUUUAGUAUUUGGUAUGAGCUACUUAUUAGGAAUCAGCAUUUCUUCCAAGUAUUCUCGAAAGAAAAGACAUUCAUACUAGAGUGAUGCCUAUCAAAUCCACUAUGGCCGGCCUGAGAAACUUGUAAUUAAAAACUACAAACAUUAUAGAUUUGUCUCCAUAUUAAAUAGAUUUAACUAUCUCUACAUCUAUGUGUAUCUAUAUGUAUCUCUUGACUAUUAUAUAUUUAUUAUAUGAUGAAUUAUAUAUGUGACAUAUUUCUAUCUUAUAUAGACAAAUAUUUAUAAUAGGUAUGUGAUAAUACACAGUGGGUAAAGGGUACGUAUGCAAAUGCAUCUUGCUUUAAGUAAACCAAUUAUUUGAAAAUACACACAAUAAAAUUAGGGGCAAUGAUUCUGUGGUUCAAAUACAUCAGUAUGGGUUCCCUGCAGUGACCCAGGAAAACUGAAGCAAAAUCAUUUUUAACAUUGCUUCCUAUGUCUCUCCUACUCACACUCAGAAAGUCACCAGUUUCUGUGGAUCCCACCUCAUUAAAAACUGUCCUUUCCUUUAACACUUCCUCUCUGGGAAUGUCCACCAGCACUUCCACACUCUUGUAGGCUGUCUCUCCCUACAAAGCAAAACUCAUCUUGUCCCUUCCCUUUUGAAAGCCAUCAUUGAGGCUCCUAGCUUUCCAGAUGAAGUUCUCAACUCUGAGGUGAAAACACAAGAUCGCUCAAGAUCUGGCCACUGCUUAGCUCUUGGGCUUCACCAAGCCUCACUUACUUCACAUCCCUUAAUUUCAGCCACAUGGAAGAGCCCAGAGGACUUCAUGGUUAGGGUGAGGGGUGCUCUCAGCCCAAAUGGCUUCCCCAUGCCUUCCUACUCACCCUGUAAUGCUUACUGAGCAUCACCUCCUCUGAGAAGCCCUGUCGUCCCCCUACAGGGACAUUACAAAUGAAUCAUCACAUUAACAAGAAAAUCAUACCAUCUAAAACACAAACAAGUUUACUAUGGACCUAUAAGGAACACCAAAACAUGACCAAAGGAAAUUCACCUUAUGUUUGUUAAAGAAGGCGAAUCUGCUUCUUUCAAGGUUCCAAAUGACCUAGACACUUGAGAUGUCUAGACAAUCACUUGUGAUGUCUCAUUGAGGGAGGAAAGAGGAGGGGUGGGAAUGUUUAAAUGUCAGCUAUUUUUCCAGAAAACUCUAACGUCACCGAUACGUCCCUCCUAUGUAACCAUCACACUCAUCUCCCCCCGACCCUGCCCCAUCUCAGCUAUUUUCUUGACUCUUAUUUAAACAUUGGAAAGCUAUUUGAUUAUCUAUAUUUGUGCCUUUUCUCCCUGGCUAGACUGUAGGUUCUGGAAGAAUAGAAACAGCACUAACAUUUUGUGCUUUUGUAUAUUUGCUGGUUGAAAGAAAAUUUGAAGGAGAGUAGCAAUUCUGUCUAUACAGAAAAUCAUUUCUGUCUAUUAGCAUGGAAACAAGACCAGCAGGGAAUAUUUAUAUUUAGGACAUUUAUUUUAAAGUAGCUAAAAUCACUUCCAGUAAAAAUGCAAAAAAAAGAAAAUCUUGCUUCCUGACUUUUAGUAUUAAGAGACAAACAUGUAAAAGGGAAAAUUGAAAAGGGAGAAACCAACAUGAAGUAUGACACCAAAUGCAGGUAUGACGUGAAAACAAGCCAUCUGCACUUACUGGUUCACAUCUGAUUUUCUAGCUGCCACUUUUCAGAUUUAUUUUUCAAAAAUGUUUUCUCCUCAAUAUACGACUUUUAAAAUGAUAAAUUACACAGUAUUUCACAGACCUGUGUAAAUACUUUUGCUCUGAUGUAUAGAAAAUCAUGCUUUCUCUGAGCAAUGAAGCAUAUUGAAAUUUACAUUUUCAAAAAUAAAUUAUAGUAAAAUAAUAGAAGAGCUUGGACAUAAAAAUCAUAUGCCAUAAAAGUUACCACUUUAAAGUGUAUAGUUCUGUGUUUCUUUUUAGUAUACUCAUAGAUAGUGUACAACCAUCAUCACUGAUUCCAAAACAUUUUCAUCACACCAAAAGGAAAGCCCAUACCCAGUCACUCCCCAUUCCCCUCUCACCCCAGCCCCUGGGAACCACUAAUCUACUUUCUGUCUCUAUGGUUUUGCAUGUUUUUGACAUUUAAUAUAAAAGUAGAAUCAUAUAAUAUGUGGGCUUUUUGUGUCUGGUUUCUUUCACUUAGCAUGUUUUUGGAGUUCAUCCACGUUGUAGCAUGUGUCAUUACUUCAUUCAUUCUUAUGGCAGGAUAAUAUUCACUGUAUAGAUAUACUAAAUUUUGCUUGUCCAUUCUUCAGUUGAUGGGCAUUUGGGUUCUUUCCACAUUUUGACUGGUAUGAAUAAAGCUGCUGUGAAUAUUCAUACACACUUUGUGUGAACGUAGGUUUUCAAUGAUUUUGGGUAUAUAACUAGAAGUGGAAUUGCUGGAUCAUAUGGUAACUAUGUAGCCAAAAACAAAAAAAAAAAACGUAGACAACAUGACUCCAAAUAGCAAGAUUCAAACACUUAUUUUAGUGCAAAACUUGUUUUCCGCCUCAUUCCAUUCACAUGAGAUAUCAACAAUUACAAGAAAACUCAUGCAAUGUUUCCACUUCAU
rnacentral:lncRNA from 10 species